UUAGGCCUUGGCUUACCACCUAUGGAGUUAGAGGAUCCCCCGGCAUGCUAACAGUGUGACCCUUGAACAUUCAACCGGUUAGCCCAAUGCAGCCUGUCAUCAACCCGCCCUCCUGAACUGAGCCCCUACCUCAUUCAGUAAACUGGAUGGCCUGUGCACCGAGGAUGAUUCAGGAUCAUGUAGUGGAGGCAGCUGUCUGUAGGACUCCUGCCUCAUCCAGUGCCGAAGUUGGAAGGCGCUUUGUGGUUACUGACAGUGAGCUACUGGACUAAAGCUGGGAAGGGGGAGCAGUGCGUCCUGAAAUGCCUGUGACAGGUCUGGCUCUGUGGGAAGAGGAGAAGCGGCACAGACACAUUAUGGGCUAGAACCAGUGAGAACCAUCCAUGCACGUCUCGGAGACACCACGAGGUCCUGCACCAGUGCCACAGGAGUCCAGCCAUGA